GUCUAACUCAUAUUGUUAUCAGAAAAAUAUAGGGUAUAAAAUAAAAUAAUCCCAGAAAAAUAAUUAAAAUGGCCUUAUUACAACCCAAAACCAAAUAAUAAUAUUAAUAAGAUAAAACUUAUAAAAAAAUAAAUCGGCUAUUUAUUGCAAUUAAAAGAAACAGAAACAGUAGUGUGGCCAUCUCCGAGUCCCUCGCAGCUCCAAAACAUCUAAGCUUAGGGAUUACCUGCACAGUUAGAAACGGGGUGAGUUUACGAAAACUCAAUGUGUAAUCCCCAACAAAAAAACAAACAGUGAAUAAUACAGUGUCAGUACAAUCUGGGCCAAAGCCCUAUUCAGUAACAGUACAGUCUGGGCCUUAGCCUUUAAACAGUAGCAAUAUGGGCCUAAGCCAUAAUUCAGUCUCGACAUAUACUGGGCCGAAGCCUUUUCAUAAAUCAUAUCACUGGCCGAAGCCUUUACUAUAAGCGGUAUGGCCCAUAGGCCCAUUUCAAUAUCACAUGUAAUAUCAAUGAAUGUAUGCAAGCCCAUUUGGGGAGACUACUCAACCUACCAUCUGCUACUCUCCACCCGUACCAACCAACACACCAUGUGGGGAAUAACUCAACCCACCCAACCAAACUCUCCACUGGCAGCAUAGCUGCUUUAUCAUAUAACUGGAGGCCUAGCCUCUUUUAAUAACUGGGGCAAAGCCCUUUUCGGUAAACUGGGGCAUAACCCUUUUAGCACUUCCUCCAUUUAUAAAACCCAACCCAUGCAACAUGUCAUGUAUGCAGAAUGUCAUGCCCAUAUUUGAAUCAAACAAUCACAUUCAAGUCAUUCAUAUCACCAACAUAUAUUCACAAUCAAAUCCAUCAACCACACAGUCCAAGUCAGUCACUUGCCCACAAGGGCAAAAUAGUCAUUUUUCAUAUUAUAAGGGUAAUUUCAUAAUUUUACCAAAUAUCAGGGUUUUCCAUGUUCAUUAACAAUUAUCAAUAUUUCCGAGUGUUUAAACAAUGAUCUUUAACCCACUUUAUCAAAUUCGGGCUUUUGGGCCCAAAACCCCUAAUGGGCCCUGCGAAUGCUGAUUUAGCCCACUAAGCCUGCUUAAUCCAAAUUUUACAACAGUACUAACUGUGUUAACAUGCAACUUUUCCAAAUUCCAUUUUCUAUCAGUUUUACCCAAAUGGGCCCGAAAGCCCAUUGGGCUCGAUUCCAGCCCAUUGAGGCCCAACUUACCAUCGUGCACAAAAUUGCGCUCUUACCUGCUCCAUCGAUCCAAACACCGAUCAUGUCGUAUCUAUCGCAUCUUUAAGCAAAGGCAAAAUCACAAGUUCCCGAAAUGCCAAAAUUUUAGCAUUUCGACUUUUCGGCGAAUAUUAAUCAAAGCUACUGCGAGGGUUAUUACACACCUGUUAUGGGUUGAAGUUGAAACGUUUCCAAAAUCAAUCACCUACGAUAACCACCACCUAUCACUCAAACUUAACUAAUCCAAUAUCAAUAUAUGUAAAUCCUAAGCACAUCAGUCAUACGAAACAUAAGGGCAUAUUCGUCAUUUUACCAUACAGGGGUAUUACGGUCACUUUACCCUACAGGGGCUUUACGGUCUUUUUACCUAUUAGGGGUAUUUUAGUCAUUUCAUCCUACAAAGGUGUUUUGGUAAAUCUACAAACCAAGGGUAUUUCAGUAAUUUUGUAAACCAAUGGUAUUUCUAUAAUUUUUAAAAAGUCAAGGGUAUUUCUGUAAUUUUGUAAAUCAGGGGUAUUUUGGUAAUUUUACAAAUUGAGGAUAUUUUGGUAAUUUUAUAACUUAAGGGUAUUUUAGUAAUUCUAUCCUACAGGGGUAUUUCAGUAAUUUCACAAUCGAGGGUAAAACGGUAAUUUUGAAAACUGAGGGUAAAAUGGUAAUUCUAUAAAUCGAGGGUAAAAUGGUAAUUUUGUAAAUCGAGGUUAAAAUGGUAAUUCUGUAAAUCGAGGUUACUUUGAUAAUUUUACAAGUCGAGGGCAUUUCUGUAAUUGGUAAACUAAAGUAUUCUAAACAGGGAUAACAAUACGAAUGGCCCUAAAGCCCAUUCUCGGCCCAUAUGGGCCCACACGCUCGUGUGGCCCUUUUAGCCCAAAUCUAGCAACAAAUAUGAGAUUCACCUAGUCUAGUGCAAUAUUUACUACACAAUCAAACUUAUCCAAUUGGGCUCGUUGGCCCAUUGGGCCCGUUGGCCCAUUGGGCCCGUUGGCCCAUUGGGCCCGUUGGCCCAUUGGGCCCACAUAGCCCCUUUCGGCCUAUCGCGACCUGAAGUAGCCAUCCUACUGCUAGAAUAGUGAGAAAUACACACCUGAUAGGAGACUGGAGUUAAUCCACGCUCCGAGCACUCUUAGCCGACGCCCAACCCAAACGAGCACGCCAUACAGCGAAAGGGAAAAGGU
rnacentral:lncRNA from 1 species